UCUCUCUUUCUCAUUCACUCUCUGUCUCUCUCUCGCUCUUUCUCAUUUACUCUCUGUCUCUCUCUCUUUUUCUCAGUCACUCUCUGUCUGUGUCUCUCUUACUUUCUCUCACUCACUUUCUCACUCCUUCACUCUCUGUCUCUCUCUUUCUCUUUCUCAUUCACUCUCUCUCUCUUUCUCAUUCACUCUCUCUCUCUAUCUCUCUCUCUCUUUAUUGCAGUCGCCAUUUUUCCUUUUACUACCAAUAUCUAUAUAGAGACACAGGAAGCUUCUUUCCGCCUCCAUAGAUUUACAUCAAGUAGGUUUUCUUAUUUUCGUUAUUUUCUUACAUUUAAUCGUGUUUUCUUACAUCAAUAUUGUUUCCUUGUGUUCGAUCUGUCAUGGAUUAACGUAAAAUCUCUGAACAACAACUAUGAUCAUAGCUCUGCCUAGUCAGGCAUGACCUGGGGUUAAACAACAGAGGGGACGUCAACGUGGUCGCUUGAUCUGCUAGAAAUAGUAACCAAAUUCCAGAUAUAUUCAAUCUAGAAAAUUGAAGACUACAUUAAAUGACGUAUUCCUAGAUAUACCUAUUUCUUUACUAUCCACAAGGGGGCUAAACAUAUAGGGGACAACCAAAGACAAAGGGAUUAAGUCGAUUAUAUCGACCCCAGUGGGUAACUGGUACUUAAUUUAUCGAACCCGAAAGGAUGGAAGGCAAAGUCGACCUCAGCGACCGUGGUGGUACUACUAGCGAACAGUGGUCCCGUUGCGCGCACGCGCCUACUUGCGCGUCCGCGCUAGCUAGUCGUGACUAGUCGAUCCUUUGUGUGUUUGUGUUAUUUACUUUGUUUUUUAAAAAUUAUUUAUUUUGUGUUUUAUUUACUUUGCUAGUUGUUCUAGGAUCGACUAGUCACGACUAGCUACCUCUGUUCGCUAGUAGUACCAACUAUGGCAAAGGGGGUGCUAUUUAAGAAAAGUGGUCCCGGUGCGCGCACUCGUGUACUCGCGCAUACGCGCUAGCUAGUCGUGACUAGUCGAUCCUACAACAACUAGCAAAGUAAAUAAAACACAGAAUAAAUAAUUUACACUAACUCUUUACUCUCUCUUUUACUCUUUUACUUGUUUCAGUCAUUUGACUGCGGCCAUGCUGGAGCACCGCCUUUAGUCGAUCAAAUCGACCCCGGGACUUAUUCUUUGUAAGCUUAGUACUUAUUCUAUCGGUCUCUUUGGCCGAACCGCUAAGUGACGGGGACGUAAACACACAAGCAUCGGUUGUCAAGCGAUGUUGGGGGACAAACACAGACACAAACACACACACACACAUACACACACACAUAUAUAUAUACAUAUAUAUAUAUACAUAUAUACGACAUGCUUCUUCAGUUUCCGUCUACCAAAUCCACUCACAAGGCUUUGGUCGGCCCGGGGCUAUAGUAGAAGACACUUGCCCAAGGUGCCACGCAGUGGGACUGAACCUGGAACCAUCUGGUUGGUAAACAAUCUACUUACCACACAACCACUCCUGCGCCUGUAUAUCAACAUAAUCAUUUAACAUCCAUUGUCCAUAAUUCCGCCCCAAAAUUAUUCUGGCUUUCCCUUGCCGGUACUAUUUAAGAAGAGUGGUCCCGCUGCGCGCACUCGCGCUAGCUAGUCGUGACUGGUUGAUCCUUACUUUGUGUUUUAUUUACUUUGUUUACAAAAAAAUUAUUUACUUAGUAAAUAGGCGCAGGAGUGGCUGUGUGGUAAGUAGCUUGCUAACCAACCACAUGGUUCCGGGUUCAGUCCCACUGCGUGGCACCUUGGGCAAAUGUCUUCUACUAUAGCCUCGAGCCGACCAAAGCCUUGUGACUGGAUUUGGUAGACGGAAACUGAAAGAAGCCUGUCGUAUAUAUAUAUAUAUAUGUGUGUGUGUGUGUGUGUGUGUUUGUCCCCCUAGCAUUGCUUGACAACCGAUGCUGGUGUGUUUAUGUCCCCGUUACUUAGCGGUUCGGCAAAAAGAGACCGAUAGAAUAAGUACUGGGCUUACAAAAGAAUAAGUCACGGGGUCGAGUUGCUCGAUUAAAGGCAGUGCUCCAGCAUGGCCGCAGUCAAAUGACUGAAACAAGUCAAAGAGUAAAAGAGGGGUUGGACAAAAUAAUGGAAACACCUAGCAUUAUAAUUUGGAAAUAUCUAUAAAAGUUUCAAAAGGUUGUUUAUUUCUAUGUUUUUUGAUUUAUUAUUAGUGUUGCUUAAUAUAUUUUGCUAAAAUUGCUCUUUCUUUUCAGGUUAUCGUCAGAAAAAGCUAAUUAAAAUUCAUUAAAAUGACAGAUCUAUCGGAUUUUCAAAGAGGUGAAAUUGUCGGUGCUCGUAUGGCAGGUGCUAGCGUAACGAAAACAGCCGAAUUGUUGGGUGUAUCAAGAAGUACUGUCUCGAAAGUAAUGACAGCCUUUAAGAAAGACGGAAAAACCUCCUCGUCGAAACAAAACUCCGGAAGAAAAUCAAAACUUUCAGAUAAGGACCGUCAGACCCUUAAGCAAAUUGUUAGAAAUGAUCACAAAAGUACAGCUCCCAAAUUUACUGCAGAGCUUAAUGACCACCUCGAGAACCCAGUUUCCACAAAAACUGUUCGCCGGGAGCUGCACAAAGCCGGAUUUCAUGGGACGUCUGCAAUCAGAGAACCACUACUUUCAAAAACAAUGGAAUGGAGGGGGCCACCUGAAUAAGGGAAUAAAAAGGGAUCCAUGGAUAAAAAAUGGUUGAAAACCCCUGGUUUAAGUGGACACAAACAUAUUUAUACAGGAGAGAAACUACAUCAUUGUAAUAUCUGUGGUUAAAUCAUUCUCACAAAAUAUUCACUUAACUCAGUGGUUUUCAACCAGGGUUCCGCCAGUACAGUCCAGAAGUUACAAAACUGCUAAAAUCGGCUGUAAUUUUUAAUUCUCCUGUGCAGAUAUGUGUGCAUAAGACUAUUAAAUUAUUGCACAGGGGUUCCUCGAGCCAGUGGAAUGUUUCCUUGGGGUUCCGCUCCAGCAAAAAGUUUGAAAAGCACUGACUUAACUAUUCAUAUGGGAGAGCAACCCUAUCACUGUGAGAUCUGUAAUAGAUCCUUCUCUGAAAGACUUCACUUCAUUGCACACACUCAUGUAUUCUUAAAGAGAGAAUUCAGGGAUCUUUUCAGUUUGAAUGGCAGUUUUUUCUAGCGGUGUCAUAUGAAAUUGUCACCCGUAAUUAUGACCCUAGAAUUGAUCUAUUGCAUUUCAAUCUCUUUUAGGGUUAGGGGUGGGAGGAAGUGUAUCUUUUUUUCUUCACAAAUGUAAAUAAACCCAAUCUGUUUCUUAACCCAACUUUCUUUUAUGUAUUGUCUCGUGUGGCAUGGGCUAAAUAGUAGGUAUUGUUUAGUGUCUGUGGUCUUGUAAAAUAUGUCCGUUUCUACUUUCUGUAUAUUUUUUAAACCUACUUGUCUAGGAAUGGGAGUUCUUCUUGGUUGUGAUCCAUCAUAAAUUGUAUGUUGGUGUUAAUGCUAUUAAGGAGAUUUUUGAACUCCAAGAAUUUAUCUGAUUUCAUUCCAGAAGAUGAAGCAGUUAUCCAAAAAUCUCAUCCAAUUUUCUUUUAUGUAUUGGCAGGGGGUGUUCCGAAUUUUGAAAAUGACUCCUGAUAUGUUAAAUUACCUACCAGAAAAGAUCAGGAAAGAAACACUCAUGGCCUCAUUUGAUGUGAUAGACUUCAAAUGACACAAUUAUACACAACUCUGUCUAUUAUGCUACUAAUAAUACAC
rnacentral:lncRNA from 1 species